GAUGAACGCUGGCUACAGGCUUAACACAUGCAAGUCGAGGGGAAACGACGGGGAAGCUUGCUUCCCCGGGCGUCGACCGGCGCACGGGUGAGUAACGCGUAUCCAACCUGCCUCUGACUGAGGGAUAACCCGUCGAAAGUCGGCCUAAUACCUCAUGGCAUCGUCUGCGGGCAUCCAACGACGAUUAAAGAUUUCAUCGGUCAGGGAUGGGGAUGCGUCUGAUUAGCUUGUUGGCGGGGUAACGGCCCACCAAGGCUACGAUCAGUAGGGGUUCUGAGAGGAAGGGCCCCCACAGGGGAACUGAGACACGGUCCAAACGCCUACGGGAGGCAGCAGUGAGGAAUAGUGGUCAAUGGGCGGGAGCCGGAACCAGCCAAGUAGCGUGCAGGAGGACGGGCCUAUGGGUUGUAAACUGCUUUUAGGCGGGGAUAAAGUGAGGGACGUGUCCUUCAUUGCAGGUACCGCAUGAAUAAGGACCGGCUAAUUCCGUG
rnacentral:rRNA from 1 species